GAGUUUGAUCCUGGCUCAGAGCGAACGUUGGCAGUGUGUCUUAAGCAUGCAAGUCGAACGGCAGCAGGCCAUGUAGCAAUAUAUGGUGCUGGCGAGUGGCGAACUGGUGAGUAACACGUAAGAAUCUGCCCUAAGGUGGGGGAUAACUCAUGGAAACAUGAGCUAAUACCGCAUAAUGCGAAGCUUAUAGAGAUAUAAGUUUUGUUAAAGGAGAAAUCCGCCAUAGGAUGAGCUUGCGUCCCAUUAGCUAGUUGGCGGGGUAAAUGCCCACCAAGGCUAUGAUGGGUAGCUGGCCUGAGAGGGUGGUCAGCCACACUGGGACUGAGAUACGGCCCAGACUCCUACGGGAGGCAGCAGCUAAGAAUCUUCCUCAAUGGGUGAAACCCUGAAGGAGCGACACUGCGUGCAGGAUGAAGGCCCUUUGGGUUGUAAACUGCUUUUGCAGGGGAGAAAUAACCGAAUGGGAUGAUAGUACUCUGCGAAUAAGUCCCGGCUAACUACGUGCCAGCAGCCGCGGUAAUACGUAAGGGGCGAACGUUGCUCGGAAUCACUGGGCGUAAAGGGCCGGUAGGUGGCUUUAUAAGUCGGUUGUCAAAUACCUAUGCUCAACGUGGGAGAGGCGACCGAUACUGUAGAGCUUGAGUAGAGGAUGGGAUGAUGGAAUACCCGGUGUAGGGGUGAAAUCUGUUGAUAUCGGGUAGAACACCGAUGGCGAAAGCGAUCAUCUAGCCUCAUACUGACACUCAACGGCGAAAGCCAGGGGAGCGAACGGGAUUAGAUACCCCGGUAGUCCUGGCCAUAAACGAUGCAUGCUANGUAUUGGCACCGCGUUGGUGCUGGUACCGCAGCUAACGCGUUUAGCAUGCCGCCCUGGGGAGUAUGCU
rnacentral:rRNA from 1 species